UACGGGGGGGGCAAGCGUUGUUCGGAAUUACUGGGCGUAAAGGGCUCGUAGGCGGCCAACUAAGUCAGACGUGAAAUCCCUAGGCUCAACCUAGGAACUGCGUCUGAUACUGGAUGGCUUGAAUCCGGGAGAGGGAUGCAGAAUUCCAGGUGUAGCGGUGAAAUGCGUAGAUAUCUGGAGGAAUACCGGUGGCGAAGGCGGGUCUCUGGGCCGAUACUGACGCUGAGGAGCGAAAGCGUGGGGAGCGAACAGG
rnacentral:rRNA from 1 species